rnacentral:rRNA from 1 species
AUGUGGUUUUUGCUUGAUCGAGCUCAGGGUGUGUUGGUGAUACCUUUGUUCUCUCCUGCUAAAUCGAUGUGGUGUGGUUCUCCUCCUCAUAUUCUAAGGAAGACAGAGAUGCAGAUAUCAUGGUUCAUUCUCAGAGUAUAUAAAUUCAAGUCCGAUGAAACUGAGGUCCCUUCAUCACUCGUGUGUAGAGGUUUAUGCCCUUGUUCAUUUUAUUUACGCGCCGACAGUAAGUUUUGCGCACUAGAUGCUGCCGCGGUGGUGCUACCUGUUCAGCUAGCUGUGUAUAAAUUCAUUGCGCUGGUUUCGUCAGCAGAGUCAAAGACAGCCGGUAAAGCAGCAAUGCACUGGCGAGUAGAACGUCCAAGGUUGCUUGUCGAGUCUCGAGUGGGUGCUGCUUCUCCACCAACCUAA